rnacentral:misc_RNA from 1 species
UAUGUACCCAGGAUACCUUUGAGGCCCGCAUAUAUCGACCCGGCCGCUGUGGACAAGAUGCCAAGCAGCGGACCUGCCGUGCGCAUCAAUUCCUGAAUAAUCCGCGCCCGGCGCCGGAGCUGAUCCUCCCCGACAUACGGCCCCAGGAGACGCGCGAUACGGUAGGCCGCGAUAUUCGGCCGGUCGACCUGCGAGAGCGAACUGGCCAGAAGUUGAAGUAUCAGAAUUCCCAGGAUGUUUCCGGUGAGGAACGCCAGCGCGAUGCUCGCCGAGUAUUC